GACGAACGCUGGCGGCGUGCUUAACACAUGCAAGUCGAACGAUGAACCCGGAGCUUGCUCCGGUGGAUUAGUGGCGAACGGGUGAGUAACACGUGAGUAACCUGCCCUUGACUCUGGGAUAACUGCGGGAAACUGUAGCUAAUACCGGAUACGACCCUCGGCGGCAUCGCCAGGGGGUGGAAAGAAUUUCGGUCAAGGAUGGACUCGCGGCCUAUCAGCUAGUUGGUGAGGUAACGGCUCACCAAGGCGACGACGGGUAGCCGGCCUGAGAGGGUGACCGGCCACACUGGGACUGAGACCCGGCCCAGACUCCUACGGGAGGCAGCAGUGGGGAAUAUUGCACAAUGGGCGCAAGCCUGAUGCAGCAACGCCGCGUGAGGGAUGACGGCCUUCGGGUUGUAAAGCUCUUUUACCCGGGACGAUAAUGACUGUACCGGGAGAAUAAGCCCCGGCUAACUUCGUGCCAGCAGCCGCCGUAA
rnacentral:rRNA from 1 species